GAUCCUGGCUCAGGACGAACGCUGGCGGCGCGCCUAACACAUGCAAGUCGAACGAGCGAGAGAGAGCUUGCUUUCUCGAGCGAGUGGCGAACGGGUGAGUAACGCGUGAGGAACCUGCCUCAAAGAGGGGGACAACAGUUGGAAACGACUGCUAAUACCGCAUAAGCCCACGACCCGGCAUCGGGUUGAGGGAAAAGGAGCAAUCCGCUUUGAGAUGGCCUCGCGUCCGAUUAGCUGGUUGGUG
rnacentral:rRNA from 1 species